CGGGGCGGCUCAGCGCGCAGGCGCGGGGCCAGGCGCCUCGCGCGGCCAGGGGCGGGCGGCCGCAGAGCAGCACCGGCUGUGGCUCCGGUAGCAGCAAGUUCGAACCCCGCUCCCGCUCCGCUUCGGUUCUCGCUCCUUCGGCCCUUGGGCCUCCAAACACCAGUCCCCGGCAGCUCGUUGCGCAUUGCGCUCUCCCCGCCACCAGGAUGCCGGUAACCGAGAAGGAUCUGGCUGAGGACGCGCCUUGGAAGAAGAUCCAGCAGAACACGUUCACACGCUGGUGCAACGAGCACCUCAAGUGCGUGAACAAACGCAUCGGCAACCUGCAGACCGACCUGAGCGACGGGCUGCGGCUCAUCGCUCUGCUCGAGGUGCUCAGCCAGAAGCGCAUGUACCGCAAGUACCAUCAGCGGCCCACCUUUCGCCAGAUGCAGCUCGAGAAUGUGUCCGUGGCGCUCGAGUUCCUGGACCGUGAGAGCAUCAAGCUGGUGUCCAUCGAUAGCAAAGCCAUUGUGGAUGGGAACCUGAAGCUCAUCUUGGGUCUGGUGUGGACGCUGAUCCUCCACUACUCCAUCUCCAUGCCCGUGUGGGAGGAUGAAGGGGAUGAUGAUGCCAAGAAGCAGACGCCAAAGCAGAGGCUGCUGGGGUGGAUUCAGAACAAGAUCCCCUACUUGCCCAUCACCAACUUUAACCAGAACUGGCAAGACGGCAAAGCCCUGGGAGCCCUGGUAGACAGCUGUGCUCCAGGUCUUUGCCCAGACUGGGAAUCCUGGGACCCGCAGAAGCCUGUGGAUAAUGCACGAGAAGCCAUGCAGCAGGCAGAUGACUGGCUGGGUGUCCCACAGGUCAUCACUCCUGAAGAAAUCAUUCACCCGGAUGUGGACGAGCACUCAGUUAUGACUUACCUGUCCCAGUUCCCCAAAGCCAAGCUCAAGCCGGGGGCUCCUCUCAAACCCAAACUCAACCCGAAGAAAGCCAGGGCCUAUGGCAGAGGAAUCGAGCCCACUGGAAACAUGGUGAAGCAGCCAGCCAAGUUCACUGUGGACACCAUCAGCGCCGGGCAAGGAGACGUGAUGGUGUUUGUUGAGGACCCAGAAGGGAACAAAGAGGAGGCACAAGUGACCCCUGACAGCGACAAGAACAAGACAUACUCUGUGGAGUAUCUGCCCAAGGUCACCGGGCUACAUAAAGUCACAGUCCUCUUUGCAGGACAGCACAUCUCCAAGAGCCCAUUUGAAGUGAGUGUUGACAAGGCCCAGGGAGAUGCCAGUAAAGUCACUGCAAAAGGUCCAGGGUUGGAAGCUGUAGGGAACAUCGCCAAUAAGCCCACCUACUUUGACAUCUAUACGGCAGGAGCUGGUGUGGGUGACAUUGGUGUGGAGGUGGAAGAUCCCCAGGGGAAGAACACCGUGGAGUUGCUCGUGGAAGACAAAGGAAACCAGGUGUAUCGAUGUGUGUACAAACCCAUGCAGCCUGGCCCUCACGUGGUCAAGGUCUUCUUUGCUGGGGACACUAUUCCUAAGAGUCCCUUCAUUGUGCAGGUUGGGGAAGCCUGCAAUCCAAAUGCCUGCCGGGCCAGUGGCCGAGGCCUACAACCCAAAGGCGUCCGUAUCCGGGAGACCACAGAUUUCAAGGUUGACACCAAAGCUGCAGGAAGUGGGGAGCUCGGUGUAACCGUGAAAGGUCCUAAGGGUCUGGAGGAGCUGGUGAAGCAGAAAGACUUUCUGGAUGGGGUCUACGCAUUCGAGUAUUACCCCAGCACCCCAGGGAGAUACAGCAUUGCCAUCACAUGGGGGGGACACCACAUUCCAAAGAGCCCCUUUGAAGUUCAAGUUGGCCCUGAAGCGGGUAUGCAGAAAGUCCGUGCUUGGGGCCCUGGGCUCCAUGGUGGGAUUGUCGGGCGGUCAGCGGACUUCGUGGUGGAAUCCAUUGGCUCUGAAGUGGGGUCUCUGGGGUUUGCCAUUGAAGGCCCCUCUCAGGCAAAGAUUGAGUACAACGACCAGAAUGAUGGAUCGUGUGAUGUCAAAUACUGGCCCAAGGAGCCUGGCGAAUAUGCUGUUCACAUCAUGUGUGAUGACGAAGACAUCAAGGACAGCCCGUACAUGGCCUUCAUCCACCCAGCCACGGGAGACUACAACCCUGAUCUGGUUCGAGCAUACGGGCCAGGUUUGGAGAAAUCUGGGUGCAUUGUCAACAACCUGGCCGAGUUCACCGUGGAUCCUAAGGAUGCUGGGAAAGCUCCCUUAAAGAUAUUUGCUCAGGAUGGGGAAGGCCAACGCAUUGACAUCCAGAUGAAGAACCGGAUGGACGGCACAUAUGCGUGCUCAUACACCCCGGUGAAGGCCAUCAAGCACACCAUUGCUGUGGUCUGGGGAGGCGUGAACAUCCCGCACAGCCCCUACAGGGUCAACAUCGGGCAAGGUAGCCAUCCUCAGAAGGUCAAAGUGUUUGGGCCAGGUGUGGAGAGAAGUGGUCUGAAGGCAAAUGAACCUACACACUUCACGGUGGACUGUACUGAGGCUGGGGAAGGUGAUGUCAGUGUUGGCAUUAAGUGUGAUGCCCGGGUGUUAAGUGAAGAUGAGGAAGACGUGGAUUUUGACAUUAUUCACAAUGCCAAUGAUACGUUCACGGUCAAAUAUGUGCCUCCUGCUGCUGGGCGAUACACUAUCAAAGUUCUCUUUGCAUCUCAGGAAAUCCCCACCAGCCCUUUCAGAGUCAAAGUUGACCCUUCCCACGAUGCCAGCAAAGUGAAGGCAGAAGGCCCAGGGCUCAGCAAAGCAGGUGUGGAAAAUGGGAAACCGACCCACUUCACUGUGUACACCAAGGGGGCUGGGAAAGCCCCGCUCAACGUGCAGUUCAACAGCCCUCUUCCUGGCGAUGCAGUGAAGGAUUUGGAUAUCAUCGAUAAUUAUGACUACUCUCACACGGUUAAAUAUACACCCACCCAACAGGGCAACAUGCAGGUUCUGGUGACUUACGGUGGCGAUCCCAUCCCUAAAAGCCCUUUCACUGUGGGUGUUGCUGCACCGCUGGAUCUGAGCAAGAUAAAACUCAAUGGGCUGGAAAACAGGGUGGAAGUUGGGAAGGAUCAGGAGUUCACCGUUGAUACCAGGGGGGCAGGAGGCCAGGGGAAGCUGGACGUGACAAUCCUCAGCCCCUCUCGGAAGGUCGUGCCAUGCCUAGUGACACCUGUGACAGGCCGGGAGAGCAGCACGGCCAAGUUCAUCCCUCGGGAGGAGGGGCUGUAUGCUGUAGACGUGACCUACGAUGGACACCCUGUGCCCGGGAGCCCCUACACAGUGGAGGCCUCGCUGCCACCAGAUCCCACCAAGGUGAAGGCCCAUGGUCCCGGCCUCGAAGGUGGUCUCGUGGGCAAGCCUGCCGAGUUCACCAUCGAUACCAAAGGAGCUGGUACUGGAGGUCUGGGCUUAACGGUGGAAGGUCCGUGUGAGGCCAAAAUCGAGUGCUCCGACAAUGGUGACGGGACCUGCUCCGUCUCUUACCUUCCCACAAAACCCGGGGAGUACUUUGUCAACAUCCUCUUUGAAGAAGUCCACAUACCUGGGUCUCCCUUCAAAGCUGACAUUGAAAUGCCCUUUGACCCCUCUAAAGUCGUGGCAUCGGGGCCAGGUCUCGAGCAUGGGAAGGUGGGUGAAGCUGGCCUCCUUAGCGUCGACUGCUCGGAAGCGGGACCAGGGGCCCUGGGCCUGGAAGCUGUCUCGGACUCGGGAACAAAAGCCGAAGUCAGUAUUCAGAACAACAAAGAUGGCACCUACGCGGUGACCUACGUGCCCCUGACGGCCGGCAUGUACACGUUGACCAUGAAGUAUGGUGGCGAACUCGUGCCACACUUCCCCGCCCGGGUCAAGGUGGAGCCCGCCGUGGACACCAGCAGGAUCAAAGUCUUUGGACCGGGAAUAGAAGGGAAAGAUGUGUUCCGGGAAGCUACCACCGACUUUACGGUUGACUCUCGGCCGCUGACCCAGGUUGGGGGUGACCACAUCAAGGCCCACAUUGCCAACCCCUCAGGGGCCUCCACCGAGUGCUUUGUCACAGACAAUGCUGAUGGGACCUACCAGGUGGAAUACACACCCUUUGAGAAAGGUCUCCAUGUAGUGGAGGUGACAUAUGAUGAUGUGCCUAUCCCAAACAGUCCCUUCAAGGUGGCUGUCACUGAAGGCUGCCAACCAUCUAGGGUGCAAGCCCAAGGACCUGGAUUGAAAGAGGCCUUUACCAACAAGCCCAAUGUCUUCACCGUGGUUACCAGAGGCGCAGGAAUUGGUGGGCUUGGCAUAACUGUUGAGGGACCAUCAGAGUCGAAGAUAAAUUGCAGAGACAACAAGGAUGGCAGCUGCAGUGCUGAGUACAUUCCUUUCGCUCCGGGGGAUUACGAUGUUAAUAUCACAUAUGGAGGAGCCCACAUCCCUGGCAGCCCCUUCAGGGUUCCUGUGAAGGAUGUUGUGGACCCCAGCAAGGUCAAGAUUGCCGGCCCCGGGCUGGGCUCAGGCGUCCGAGCCCGUGUCCUGCAGUCCUUCACGGUGGACAGCAGCAAGGCUGGCCUGGCUCCGCUGGAAGUGAGGGUCCUGGGCCCACGAGCUGAUGACACGGAUUCCCAGUCAUGGCGCAGCCCCUUGAAAGCCCUUUCAGAGUUCUUUAAAGGUGACCCGAAGGGUGACUUUAAUAAGACAGGCCUGGUGGAGCCAGUGAACGUGGUGGACAAUGGAGAUGGCACACACACAGUAACCUACACCCCAUCUCAGGAGGGACCUUACAUGGUCUCAGUUAAAUAUGCUGAUGAAGAGAUUCCUCGCAGUCCCUUCAAGGUCAAGGUCCUUCCCACAUAUGAUGCCAGCAAAGUGACUGCCAGUGGCCCCGGCCUUAGUUCCUAUGGUGUGCCUGCCAGUCUACCUGUGGACUUUGCAAUUGAUGCCCGAGAUGCCGGGGAAGGCCUGCUUGCUGUUCAAAUAACGGACCAAGAAGGAAAACCCAAAAGAGCCAUUGUCCAUGACAAUAAAGAUGGCACGUAUGCUGUCACCUACAUCCCCGACAAGACUGGGCGCUAUAUGAUUGGGGUCACCUACGGGGGUGACGACAUCCCACUUUCUCCUUAUCGCAUCCGAGCCACACAGACGGGUGAUGCCAGCAAGUGCCUGGCCACGGGUCCUGGAAUCGCCUCCACUGUGAAAACUGGCGAAGAAGUAGGCUUUGUGGUUGAUGCCAAGACUGCCGGGAAGGGGAAAGUGACCUGCACGGUUCUGACCCCAGAUGGCACUGAGGCCGAGGCCGAUGUCAUUGAGAAUGAAGAUGGAACCUAUGACAUCUUCUACACAGCUGCCAAGCCGGGCACAUAUGUGAUCUAUGUGCGCUUCGGUGGUGUUGAUAUUCCUAACAGCCCCUUCACUGUCAUGGCCACAGAUGGGGAAGUCACAGCCGUGGAGGAGGCACCGGUAAAUGCAUGUCCCCCUGGAUUCAGGCCCUGGGUGACCGAAGAGGCCUAUGUCCCAGUGAGUAACAUGAACGGCCUGGGAUUUAAGCCUUUUGACCUGGUCAUUCCGUUUGCUGUCAGGAAAGGAGAAAUCACUGGAGAGGUCCACAUGCCUUCUGGGAAGACAGCCACACCUGAGAUUGUGGACAACAAGGACGGCACGGUCACUGUUAGAUACGCCCCCACUGAGGUCGGGCUCCAUGAGAUGCACAUCAAAUACAUGGGCAGCCACAUCCCUGAGAGCCCACUCCAGUUCUACGUGAACUACCCCAACAGUGGAAGUGUUUCUGCAUACGGUCCAGGCCUCGUGUAUGGAGUGGCCAACAAAACUGCCACCUUCACCAUCGUCACAGAGGAUGCAGGAGAAGGUGGUCUGGACUUGGCUAUUGAGGGCCCCUCAAAAGCAGAAAUCAGCUGCAUUGACAAUAAAGAUGGGACAUGCACAGUGACCUACCUGCCGACUCUGCCAGGCGACUACAGCAUUCUGGUCAAGUACAAUGACAAGCACAUCCCUGGCAGCCCCUUCACAGCCAAGAUCACAGAUGACAGCAGGCGGUGCUCCCAGGUGAAGUUGGGCUCAGCCGCUGACUUCCUGCUCGACAUCAGUGAGACUGACCUCAGCAGCCUGACGGCCAGCAUUAAGGCCCCAUCUGGCCGAGACGAGCCCUGUCUCCUGAAGAGGCUGCCCAACAACCACAUUGGCAUCUCCUUCAUCCCCCGGGAAGUGGGCGAACAUCUGGUCAGCAUCAAGAAAAAUGGCAACCAUGUGGCCAACAGCCCCGUGUCCAUCAUGGUGGUCCAGUCCGAGAUCGGUGACGCCCGCCGAGCCAAAGUCUAUGGCCGCGGCCUGUCAGAAGGCCGGACUUUCGAGAUGUCUGACUUCAUCGUGGACACAAGGGAUGCAGGUUAUGGUGGCAUAUCCUUGGCAGUGGAAGGCCCCAGCAAAGUGGACAUCCAGACGGAGGACCUGGAAGAUGGCACCUGCAAAGUCUCCUACUUCCCCACCGUGCCUGGGGUUUAUAUCGUCUCCACCAAAUUCGCUGACGAGCACGUGCCUGGGAGCCCAUUUACCGUGAAGAUCAGCGGGGAGGGAAGAGUCAAAGAGAGCAUCACCCGCACCAGUCGGGCCCCGUCCGUGGCCACUGUUGGGAGCAUUUGUGACCUGAACCUGAAAAUCCCAGAAAUCAACAGCAGUGAUAUGUCGGCCCACGUCACCAGCCCCUCUGGCCGUGUGACUGAGGCAGAGAUUGUGCCCAUGGGGAAGAACUCACACUGCGUCCGGUUUGUGCCCCAGGAGAUGGGCGUGCACACGGUCAGCGUCAAGUACCGUGGGCAGCACGUCACCGGCAGCCCCUUCCAGUUCACCGUGGGGCCACUUGGUGAAGGAGGCGCCCACAAGGUGCGGGCAGGAGGCCCUGGCCUGGAGAGAGGAGAAGCGGGAGUCCCAGCUGAGUUCAGCAUUUGGACCCGGGAAGCAGGCGCUGGAGGCCUCUCCAUCGCUGUUGAGGGCCCCAGUAAGGCCGAGAUUACGUUCGAUGACCAUAAAAAUGGGUCGUGCGGUGUAUCUUAUAUUGCCCAAGAGCCUGGUAACUACGAGGUGUCCAUCAAGUUCAAUGAUGAGCACAUCCCGGAAAGCCCCUACCUGGUGCCGGUCAUCGCACCCUCCGACGACGCCCGCCGCCUCACUGUUAUGAGCCUUCAGGAAUCGGGAUUAAAAGUUAACCAGCCAGCAUCCUUUGCUAUAAGGUUGAAUGGCGCAAAAGGCAAGAUUGAUGCAAAGGUGCACAGCCCCUCUGGAGCCGUGGAGGAGUGCCACGUGUCUGAGCUGGAGCCAGAUAAGUAUGCUGUUCGCUUCAUCCCUCAUGAGAAUGGUGUCCACACCAUCGAUGUCAAGUUCAAUGGGAGCCACGUGGUUGGAAGCCCCUUCAAAGUGCGCGUUGGGGAGCCUGGACAAGCGGGGAACCCUGCCCUGGUGUCCGCCUAUGGCGCGGGACUCGAAGGGGGCACCACAGGGAAGGCGCCUUGUUUUUCCAGCCCUCCUGCUCCCAAGCCUUUCCCUAAAUAUCCAUUCUGAGAUUACACAGCUGCAGUGUGCAUGGAAUGAAAAGGUAUCUGUGCUUGGCCGCCAGAGCGCCCAGUAUCCUGACCUUCUGAACAAAGCAACCCUCCCUCUGUUUUUAAUGGGUAUCCAGUCGGAAUUCUUUAUUAACACCACCCGAGCGGGUCCAGGGACAUUAUCCGUCACCAUCGAAGGCCCAUCCAAGGUUAAAAUGGAUUGCCAGGAAACACCUGAAGGGUACAAAGUCAUGUACACCCCCAUGGCUCCUGGUAACUACCUGAUCAGCGUCAAAUACGGUGGGCCCAACCACAUCAUGGGCAGUCCCUUCAAGGCCAAGGUGACAGGCCAGCGUCUAGUUAGCCCCGGCUCAGCCAACGAGACCUCAUCCAUCCUGGUGGAGUCAGUGACCAGGUCUUCUACAGAGACCUGCUAUAGUGCCAUUCCCAAGGCAUCCUCGGACGCCAGCAAGGUGACCUCUAAGGGGGCAGGGCUCUCAAAGGCCUUUGUGGGCCAGAAGAGUUCCUUCCUGGUGGACUGCAGCAAAGCUGGCUCCAACAUGCUGCUGAUCGGGGUCCAUGGGCCCACCACCCCCUGCGAGGAGGUCUCCAUGAAGCAUGUAGGCAACCAGCAAUACAACGUCACAUACGUCGUCAAGGAGAGGGGCGAUUAUGUGCUGGCUGUGAAGUGGGGGGAGGAACACAUCCCUGGCAGCCCUUUUCAUGUCACAGUGCCUUAAAACAGUUUUCUCAAAUCCUGGAGAGAGUUCUUGUGGUUGCUUUUGUUGCUUGUUUGUAAUUCAUUUUAUACAAAGCCCUCCAGCCUGUUUGUGGGGCUGAAACCCAUCCCUAAAAUAUUGCUGUUGUAAAAUGCCUUCAGAAAUAAGUCCUAGACUGGACUCUUGAGGGACAUAUUGGAGAAUCUUAAGAAAUGCAAGCUUGUUCAGUGGGCUGAGAAGAUCCUGAGUACACUAGGUGCAAACCAGAACUCUUGGUGGAACAGACCAGCCACUGCAGCAGACAGACCAGGAACACAAUGAGACUGACAUUUCAAAAAAACAAAACUGGCUAGCCUGAGCUGCUGGUUCACUCUUCAGCAUUUAUGAAACAAGGCUAGGGGAAGAUGGGCAGAGAAAAAGGGGACACUUAGUUUGGUUGUCAUUUGGCAAAGGAGAUGACUUAAAAUCUGCUUAAUCUCUUCCAGUGUCCGUGUUAAUGUAUUUGGCUAUUAGAUCACUAGCACUGCUUUACCACUCCUCAUCGCCAACACCCCCAUGCUCUGUGGCCUUCUUACACUUCUCAGAGGGCAGAGUGGAUGUGGUGGCAGCCGGGCCCACAUGUCUCUCAAGUACCUGUCCCCUCGCUCUGGUGAUUAUUUCUUGCAGAAUCACCACACAAGACCAUCCCGGCAGUCAUGGUUUUGCUUUAGUUUUCCAAGUCCGUUUCAGUCCCUUCCUUGGUCUGAAGAAAUUCUGCAGUGGCAAGCAGUUCCCCACUUGCCAAAGAUCCCUUUUAACCAACACUAGCCCUUGUUUUUAACACACGCUCCAGCCCUUCAUCAGCCUGGGCGGUCUUACCAAAAUGUUUAAAGUGACCUCAGAGGGGCCCAUGGAUUAACGCCCUCAUCCCAAGGCCCGUCCCAUGACAUAACACUCCACACCCGCCCCAGCCAACUUCGUGGGUCACUUUUUCUGGAAAAUAAUGAUCUGUACAGACAGGACAGAAUGAAACUCCUGCGGCUCUUUGGCCUGAAAGUUGGGAAUGGUUGGGGGAGAGAAGGGCAGCAGCUUAUUGGUGGUCUUUUCACCAUUGGCAGAAACAGUGAGAGCUGCAUGGUGCAGAAAUCCAGAAAUGAGGUGUAGGGAAUUUUGCCUGCCUUCCUGCAGACCUGAGCUGGCUUUGGAAUGAGGUUAAAGUGUCAGGGACGUUGCCUGAGCCCAAAUGUGUAGUGUGGUCUGGGCAGGCAGACCUUUAGGGUUUGCUGCUUAGUCCUGAGGAAGUGGCCACUCUUGUGGCAGGUGUAGUAUCUGGGGCGAGUGUUGGGGGUAAAAGCCCACCCUACAGAAAGUGGAACAGCCCGGAGCCUGAUGUGAAAGGACCAUGGGUGUUGUAAGCUGGGACAUGGAAGCCAAACUGGAAUCAAAUGCCGACUGUAAAUUGUAUCUUGUAACUUAUUAAAUAAAACAUUUGCUCCGUAAA